rnacentral:rRNA from 1 species
GACGAACGCUGGCGGCGUGCUUAACACAUGCAAGUCGAACGCUGAAGCUCAGCUUUUGUUGGGUGGAUGAGUGGCGAACGGGUGAGUAACACGUGAGUAACCUGCCCCCUUCUUUGGGAUAACGCCCGGAAACGGGUGCUAAUACUGGAUAUUCACUGGUCUUCGCAUGGGGGUUGGUGGAAAGGGUUUUUCUGGUGGGGGAUGGGCUCGCGGCCUAUCAGCUUGUUGGUGGGGUGAUGGCCUACCAAGGCUUUGACGGGUGGCCGGCCUGGGAGGGUGACCGGUCACAUUGGGACUGAGAUACGGCCCAGACUCCUACGGGAGGCAGCAGUGGGGAAUAUUGCGCAAUGGGCGCAAGCAUGAUGCAGCGACGCCGCGUGAGGGAUGGAGGCCUUCGGGUUGUGAACCUCUUUCGCUCAUGGUCAAGCCGCAACAAUGGUUGUGGUGAGGGUGGUGGGUAAAGAAGCGCCGGCUAACUACGUG